rnacentral:other from 1 species
UGCCCCCUGCCGGGUUCGUGAUUCGGCUUCGAGUCGUUUGGGCCGACUUUGUAAAAAGCGGAGCGUCUGCCCGCGCCCAUGAGCAAGCUCCCAUGUUUCGAGGGAGAAGCCUACGGGCGACGGCGAAACGGAUGCCCCACCUGUGAAAUACAGGUCCAAACAACCGAGCCACACGGCCUUAGCGGGGGGCUU